AUGCAGUGGUUACGAACUGACUGCCCGCUUUCAAACCCUCGCUCUGCGAGAACUUGGGGGAUGUCGCUCAACCGCUCGUUGACUCAGUUUCCCCCCUCUGUAAAAUGGGAACAAGAACUGGGGUUCCCCUCAAGGGGUUGUCUGCGAGGGCUCAGUGCACUGCCGCUGUGUCCAGCACGGAGUGAGGGCUCAGGAAUUAUUAGCGUCACAGUCACUACAACUGUUUGUGAUGGACAACAGGGCGGCAAGGUGUUUCCGAUACAAACGCAAUCACGUGGAUCCCGGACGGUGACCGUUUGUGACACUUUUCUCUCCACGGCCAGGCUCUGUUCACGUCACGUGGCCAGCUAUGUCCACGUCCAUGGACUCUGCUGCUGCUUCAGCGACACCUCCCCAAGGCUUUGCCGGCCUUUGAUGGCUAAGACUAACCGGCUUUGACCUCAUCUGCCUCCUGUUUUCUCGCUCGGAGAGCCAAGCUGAAGGAGGCACUUACUGGGACCUGCUGCUCACCUGUGAUAAGGGAAAGACAGAGAUGGAGGACCCACAGCGGCGUGGGUUACUCCUGUGUCCUGGCCAAGCCUGAGGUCCUCUUCGUGCCAGGAGGCUGCUCCUCCAUUCUUCCCUAGGACAUCACAGGCAUCCGUCCCAUUUCACAGGUGAGAAAACCAAGGCUGCAAGCGCGAACCUGAUCAAGGUGGUAGAUGAGAAGCAGGCUGCGUCUGGCUUCCGUGUUGGCCCAUGUAGUCUUUAUUUAUUUUUUUUUAAGAUUUAUUUUAUUUAUUUGAAAGGCGGAGUUACAGAGAGGGGGAGUGUCUUCCAUCUGCUGGUUCACUCUCCAGAGGGCCCUAACAGCUGGAGCUGUGCCCAUCUGAAGUCAGGAGCUUCUUGUGGGUCGCCCACGUGGGUGCAGGGGCCCAAGCACUUGGGCCAUCUUCCACCGCUUUCCCAGACCAUAGCAGAGAGCUGGAUUGGAAGUGGAGCAGCCGGGACUAGAACCGGCGGCCAUAUGGGAUGCCGGCACUGCAGGCAGCGGCCUUACCUGCUAUGCCACAGUGCCGGCCCCUGCCCAAGUAGUCCUGUUGUGAGUUUCGCUGUUGUCAUUUAUUUAUUCAGGGACACAACCACUGCUCCGUCCGUCCCAGAAGUAGCUCCAUGGAAACGUCUAGAGCGAAACCACGUGAAAGGCUGGCAAGCCAGGGAGGGGUCAGGCGGGGAAUGCCCCCAAGGGAGCUGACUGUACUGCACCUGCUGAUUGUCUUCACUGUUGCGUUCUUGAAUUGCAGCUCCUUUGCACAGGGCUCACCCCUCACCCAUCACCUUUGGCCUUCACACGGGUGUGACCCCUUUCGUAGUCACGGCUUAGAAACUUCCAGGGUGCAGUGGUUAUUUAAAAAAAAAUUGUCAGUGGGGCCGAGCGCGCCAGUGGAGCCUUGGGUUC
rnacentral:lncRNA from 1 species